rnacentral:misc_RNA from 1 species
UACAGAGGGUGCGAGCGUUAAUCGGAAUUAUUGGGCGUAAAGCGCGUGUAGGCGGCUUGGCAAGUCGGGUGUGAAAGCCCUCAGCUUAACUGAGGAAGUGCGCCCGAAACUGCUGAGCUUGAGUACCGGAGAGGGUGGCGGAAUUCCCCAAGUAGAGGUGAAAUUCGUAGAUAUGGGGAGGAACACCGGUGGCGAAGGCGGCCACCUGGACGGAUACUGACGCUGAGACGCGAAAGCGUGGGGAGCAAACAGG